CAGAAGUCUUCUGGUGCAGGGCAGAGAAAGACCUACUUCAUUUCAGAUUCUUCCAAAGAAGGUUCUCUUUUCAGCAAUGAGUCCAACAAACCUCAGCCCUGUCCCUCUGAAAGGAAGAGAAGAGACUGAAGAACUAUAAGAACACAGACAAGGACAACAGUCUGAUUACAUACAGAGAAAAGUUCUUUCUGACUCAAGCAGGAAGCUGGCAUUUGGCAAACGACUUUGGAGGGAGGAAGACCCAAAGAAUGAAGCACACAACCAAGCACUUGCUGGCAGCCAUCUUGGGACACCACAGUGAGAAUACACCUGAAAUUAGAGCCAAC
rnacentral:lncRNA from 1 species